AUUUACAAAUAACAAACAAAACAUCUGUCCUCUUUUUUUUUUUUUUUGUAGUGGGGUUUAUAAACCAUGAUUAAACUCUAAACCUUACGCUGUUGGUAUAUUGUUUAUCUACGCCAUGGUGCCAUCAUCUGCUACAAUUUUAUAUAAGCUAUCAAAAAUUUAAUGUUUUGUUACCAAAUUGGGUUCUUUGUUUUUUGUCUGUUUUGACUUGGAAAAGUCUAGCUUAAUUCUUAGUUAUUUGUUCCCAUUGUUAAUUUUUGCCGACCUUUCAAUAUCUAAUAGUUGUUUUACAUUUUUUUUUAUAUAACAUUGUUCCAAGGUGAUGUUUCAAGAUAUUUUUGAAUCACACCUAAGUUUAUAAUAUAGAAAUUUAAUGAAAUACGAAAUGAAUUCAAUGUUCGAUUUAGAGAAUUUUAAUCAUCCUACUCCAUCUUGAUGGCAGUGGACGAAGUGGUCAAAAGCCUCAUUUCUUCAGUAACAUUUUUCAUUUUUUAUGUGUUCUCAUACAAUAUAAUUUGUUUAUUUAUCAAUUUCUUUUUUAAAAAAAGAAAAAUUAUCAAUUUCUUUAUAUGAUUAGAUGUCUUAUACAUGGAUUUCUAAUGUUGAGACUAUAGAUCUCUUGGUGACCAUACAAAAAAGAAAAUGACCAUCUUCCUAGUUAUCCAAAAAAAAAUCACGAUAAUGGGAUGACACUUUGAUCCUUUAACCAUGUUUUAUUUGGAACGGAUAAGCAUUGAACAUUUCAGAGUUGAAGUUAGCCUUUCAAUUUGUAUUUGACGAAUUCAUCAUCGGGCCUUGUUGAUGUUGGUAGUCACGACCUUUUCCUUCAUUAUCUCGGCUCUCUGUUGCCAUUACUUUAUAAAUUAAUUUAAAUUUUGCUAAAUUUACUUUUGUGAAAUUUAUAUUUGUCACAAAUUUAUAUAUCAUGUAUCUGAUGGCUCAUUCAUCCAACUGUUAAUGAUUGUAAUUACCUUUUAAAAGUGGCUAUAUUCUGAAAGACUUGGAUAGUCGUGGAGGUUAUCAUGCUGUUGUUAUAAUUCCUUAUAUUUGUCAAUUCGUUCAUGACAAUUUUAUACAGGUCAGAUAAUUCAUUAUCUUUUUUGUUAGCCCUUAUCAACAAAUUAGAUUGUUUAUCUACUACCCUAACAUUAGGGAGUACAAGCUCCGUACUUCAUGGUUCACCUUAUGUUCUUAAUUAGCAGUUGCUUGUUUGGAUUAUAUAUAUUGCCUCAACUUUUAAAUAAUGCAUUAUCCAUUUUACUAUCCGUUUGUACUUGCAUGUAAAUCUCUAUAUUACAUAUAGAAAGCGGAAAGUUGCAAGAUAUCAUUGUCAUCAAAGUCUUCAGCUUGAUGAGUUGCACCUAAUAGUAUAGUAUGGUAAGUUAUAAGAAUAUGAACUAAGUACAAUGCUUGAGUUGUAUAAGAAUAUAAUUAUAAUCAUCCUUGUGUCACCAAAUGGAAGCCUUGCUAUGAAGUUUCCACGAACCUCAUUUUGCCAUUUAUCAUUUUAAGUUAGGAUACUGGACUUGUGUUCUUAAUGUGAUUUAUUAUUUAGAUUUUUUUAUAUGAAAAUUUAUCAAGUGUUAUAGAUGAAAGAGUCUACGAAAAUUAAUUUGAUAUUGUGUUCCUCUAUCCAUUCAGUUGAGGGUUCAUGUAACUGGCCAUGUAUUAAGCAUUUAGUAUGUUACAUGUUACAAUGUAGUCUUUUAAUUUGUACAGUUGAAGGCCAUCUCUUUAUUUUUGGAUGUUUGUAAGUCAUCUUUCUGACCUCGGCGAUGCUAAAUAUAGUUAAACUUUGUUUUCUGUCAGAAUCCAGUUCAACUCUAGAGAACUUUUGUUACUUUUAAUGUAUUUAAUAUAUAUUUUAGUAGUUUACUUUGUGAAAGCGAGUUGCUUGAAAAGGUUACGCGUAGGAAUUCGAGCGAUGGGAUAUUAUAAACCGAAUGAGAGCCUGUUCGUUCAUGAUCAAAUGAAACUCAUAAUUUACAUCUAUGUUUCGAACAAAUAGAGUUUAGACGAAUCCGACGCCCCAAGCCUAUUGAAUAGCCAUCCAACGAAUGAAACGAAUCCCUGUGACGGUUCGAGCUACAUCAGACUACACGGGGCAGGUCAUACUAUAAGUAGGCGUCGGCCAGAAGGAAACCAACUGUUAUUAUUGGAAGUCACAAGGUUUGAAGAUUUCCCGCCCUGACGUCUCUCUUUUGCCUUAAGAACGGUCCAUUGCCUUUGGACGACUAAGUCAGCUCGGUUUAAUCUCUUUCUCAGCCAGUGACUAAUCUAAUCUCCCCAAAUCGUGCAACAGUAAGCACCACUGGGAAGGCACAUCGAACUAUAAUAUAAUGAGUAGGGCCUGCAGAAGGAAAGCAAUCAAUUCACAUAGUAGGGAAGCGCUGCUAUCAAUCUUCAUAGGCUAGUGCUAGUCAGCUAUGAAUAGUGUAUCAUAUUUUUCUUAUCUGUUGCAUAUUUUUUUAUCAAUUCCAUGUUAAUUUCUUCACAGUAAUGAGAUGGCAUUGGAUCCUUUAACCAUAUUUUAUUUGGGA